AUUGAACGCUGGCGGCAGGCCUAACCCAUGCAAGUCGAGCGGAGCGGCGUACGGGUGAGUAAUGCCUAGGACUCUGCCUGGUAGUGGGGGCUAACGUCCGGUAACGGGCGCUAAUACCGCUUACUCUCCGCUGAGCCUAUGUCGGAUUAGCUAGUGGGUGGGGUAAAGGCCUACCAAGGCGACGACCCGUAACUGGUCUGAGAGGAUGAUCAGUCACACUGGAACUGAGACACGGUCCAGGCGCCUACGGGAGGCAGCAGUGGGGAAUAUUGGACAAUGGGCGAAAGCCUGAUCCAGCCAUGCCGCGUGUGUGAAGAAGGUCUUCGGAUUGUAAAGCACUUUAAGUUGGGAGGCGUUACCAGCAGAAUAAGCACCGGCUAACUUCGUGCCAGCAGCCGCGGUAAUUC
rnacentral:rRNA from 1 species